GACGAACGCUGGCGGCGUGCUUAACACAUGCAAGUCGAACGGAAAGGCCCCAGCUUGCUGGAGUACUCGAGUGGCGAACGGGUGAGUAACACGUGGGUAACCUGCCCUGCACUCUGGGAUAAGCCUAGGAAACUGGGUCUAAUACCGGAUAUGACCUUUCUCCUCAUGGGGUUUGGUGGAAAGUUUCUCGGUGUAGGAUGAGCCCGCGGCCUAUCAGCUUGUUGGUGGGGUGAUGGCCUACCAAGGCGACGACGGGUAGCCGGCCUGAGGGGGUGAUCGGCCACAUUGGGACUGAGAUACGGCCCAGACUCCUACGGGAGGCAGCAGUGGGGAAUAUUGCACAAUGGGCGGAAGCCUGAUGCAGCGACGCCGCGUGAGGGAUGACGGCCUUCGGGUUGUAAACCUCUUUCAGCAGGGACGAAGCGUAAGUGACGGUACCUGCAGAAGAAGCACCGGCUAACUAUGUG
rnacentral:rRNA from 1 species